rnacentral:rRNA from 1 species
AGAUCAUCAUUGGGUUUAAAGCGUGCGCAGGCGGUUUUGUAAGACAGAGGUGAAAUCCCCGGGCUCAACCUGGGAACUGCCUUUGUGACUGCAAGGCUGGAGUGCGGCAGAGGGGGAUGGAAUUCCGCGUGUAGCAGUGAAAUGCGUAGAUAUGCGGAGGAACACCGAUGGCGAAGGCAAUCCCCUGGGCCUGCACUGACGCUCAUGCACGAAAGCGUGGGGAGCAAACA